CGCCCCGCAGGUGGGGAGCCUGGGGCUUGAACCAGGAACCUUCCGCUGGUCCUUCCUGCCAUGUGCGCUUAACCCUCUGUGCUACUUCCUGACCUCCCCCAUUUUAAUUUUUUUGGGGGAUUAAUGGUUUUCUGUAAAUAUAGUUGUUGGUAUAUGUGUGAAAUUCCUCAUUUUCCUGCAAAACACUCUCACCCCCAGCCUAGGCCCUCCACCAUCAGCCCCCCCCCCCCUUCAGAUUCCUUUACUUUGGUGCCAUACACCAAAUCCAGUCCAGGUUCUGCUCUGCGUUUCUCCUUUCUGUUCUUAUUUCUCAGCUUUUCUCUGUGAGUGAGAUCAUCCCAUAUUCAUCCUUCUCUUUCUGGCUUCUCUCAGUUCACAAGAUUCCUUCAAGCUCUGUUCGAGAGGAGGUUGAAGCAGGUGAAUUCAUCGUCAUGUUUCAUAGCUGAAUAGUAGCCACUGUGCAUACAGACCACAGCUUUCUCAGCCACUCAUCUGUCGUUGGACACUUGGUGUUUUCUUUCUUUCUUUUAAAAUUAUUAUUUAUUUAUUUAUUGGAUAGAGACAGCCAGAAAUCCAGAGGGGAGGGCAUGAUAGAGAAAGAGUCAGGGAGACACCUGCAGCAACUGUUUCACCACUUGUGAAGCUUUCCUCCUGCAGAUACUUGUCGGGCUUUGUGGCGGACCUGCUCCUUGUGUCUGCCUGCUACCUGUUGGAUGUCUGCAUGGAUGAGUGAGCGCCAGGGGCCUGAGAGAUGCGCCGUCCUGACUUGCCUUAACGGAACUUACUGGUUUGUUACCCCAAUCUCCCCGCCUCGCACUCUACCCUUAUGUUCCCUGAGCAGCUCCUCCUGAGCAGUCACUGAGGACAGGAGUCUGGGUGCACCAGCUCUGUCCCCACCAGGCCACCAGCCAUCACUGGAAGGGGUGACUUGACCCGCUGUGGCUCCCAGGGGUGCUGGCUUAGCUGGAUGGACACAGGAGCCCUAUUAUAGGAUGGGCGCUGUUGGUCAGAGGCCUGGAGCUGGAGUCAGGAUGUGGGGACGGGGACGGAGCUCCCGGGUAAAGGGGUCAAGGAGGGUUGCCGGCACCGAGGAUGAGGAAGGAGGCAGGGCCCGGCACAGAACAGGCCGCCCCUGGCCAGUGAGCAGCCCUGCGGUGUCCCAGUGGGUCUCUGGAUGGUGGAGCCGGUUACAGUUCAGAAGCAAACACUUUUAUAUGUCAACAGUUUUAACAGACUGCGGAGAAAGUUCUAGAAGCUACUGGCCAGUCAGAAAUCUAAGCUGUUGUCAGGGUUUGGCUGGGAGCCUGUACGACCAGCGCAGUUUGGGUGAGUGGAAUGCAAAAACCCGAUGGCUCCAGAGAUGAUUAAAAGAGAGAGCAAGACUGCAGGAAACAUCAGUCUGUCCAUCGAGGCUAGCAUGUGUCUCAUUGGAGUCCUGUGCCAGGCAUUCAGGCUGGCACCUCCCAGCCCCACCCUGAGAGGUGUGCUGUCCUCAAAGCACAGCUGGAGGACAAAGUCUCCUAGCAGUCCUCACCCAGGACUUGACCCAUCAGGUCUAGACCCUUUGCUGAGCGGAGGAUACCAGAUGCCGUGCUGUUGACUGUGAGCCUGAGAUUAGACCCCUCCACCAGCUAAGCCGGGGCUGAGGUGGCACAAACAGAGCCCCAAAUGGCCCCGACCCCCGCACACGGAGCCUACUACAUGUCCUGGCUCUCGUUCCACAGGUGCUGGGACACAGUUACCCUUGGAGCAGCCCCUGCUGGGAAAAGGCAAAAAAGUAAUAGGGAUUGCUGUCUAGAUGUUUCUCUGGCAGAGUCCCAGACCUCAGAUCUCUCCUGGGGAGAAAGACUCCCUCCCCCAAACAAAACAAAACAAAACAAAACAAAACAAAACAAAACCAAUUCCUACUUUCAUACUUUCAGAUUCACAGGUAUUCUAGAGACCUGAUAAGUUGUACAGAGCUUUUGACCUCUUAAAAAAAAAAUGAAGAACAAGCCAGGAAAAGACCAGACAUCAGGAACUGUGUUUCAACCCCGGCCCAAAUCUGGGAAAGCCCGCUUGCUUUGCUCCAAAUCGUAAUCCCAGGAGCCCUGAGCUCUGCCCUUCCUGGUCUCAGUCCAGAUGUGAGGGGGAAGACCCACAGCAGGCUCCCAGUGAAGAAACACCACCUUCUGUGCCUGCUUUGAGCAGCUUGUAAGGCUUUGCUCACCCUGGUGCUUUAUCUUCUUUCAUUGCCUCACCGCUUCUGCUGAAGAGCUGAAGUCUUAAAGCUUCGUAAGACUGGUUCGUUAGCAGUAUCAGAAGCUAAGCGCUUGAAUCACGUCGUUCCAUCUAGAAGAGCUGUAAAUACACUGGACUUAAAAUAACCGUGUUCAGUGAGUGACAGUGGUGGGGUCCCUUCAGCUGAGCUGUGGUCUGAUGCCCCACAGCCGCCUGGCCUGGCCUUGCCUCAGGCUGGAUUCUGAGUUGCUUUGGGUACGUGUGAUCCUGGAUGCGGCUCCGUGCCUUGGACUGAGACAUGAGACUUUCCAUGAGCUUAUAUUCUGCAUGAAUAAAUAGCUCCCAGUCAGG